rnacentral:rRNA from 1 species
GGUCAAGUGAAGAAGCGCAUACGGUGGAUGCCUUGGCAGUCAGAGGCGAUGAAAGACGUGGUAGCCUGCGAAAAGCUUUGGGGAGUCGGCAAACAGACUGUGAUCCAGAGAUCUCUGAAUGGGGGAACCCAGCCAGCACAAGCUGGUUAUCUUGUACUGAAUACAUAGGUGCAAGAGGCGAACCAGGGGAACUGAAACAUCUAAGUACCCUGAGGAAAAGAAAUCAACCGAGAUUCCCUUAGUAGUGGCGAGCGAACGGGGACCAGCCCUUAAGUUGGUUUGAGAUUAGUGGAACGCUCUGGAAAGUGCGGCCAUAGUGGGUGAUAGCCCCGUACACGAAAAUCUCUUGUCAAUGAAAUCGAGUAGGACGGAGCACGAGAAACUUUGUCUGAAUAUGGGGGGACCAUCCUCCAAGGCUAAAUACUACUGACUGACCGAUA